rnacentral:lncRNA from 1 species
UUGAAUGGAGAGGGUUCCAAGAUAAUCGAGAAGUACAUAAACAUAGUGCAUCAGAACAUUCCCAAAUGAUUUGAAGUUCCGCUAGUUUGUGAGAAGGUAUGGAUUCGAGUCCUAAUGGAUUGAAUGGCAUUAAGUGGUUUGCAUAUGUAGAGUCAGUCAUAGAUGGAGCUAUGACCAUCCUGGAAUUGUUGUGGAUCACUUUGACCAUUCCAGGUAAGUCCGGUAGGAUUUUGGAGCAAGAUCCGUGAUAUCUAGCACUCAAUUGCAAACCGCAUCCUCCAGAGAUAAUUUUCUCAUACAACAUUUGUUUUCAGCAUACUAGGUGCCAAAAUGGAGCUCUCACAACUACAAUGAGAUUAUAUCUACCCCUAAGGGUUUUGUUGCAUGUAGUGAACAUGAGCCUACAA